rnacentral:rRNA from 1 species
GACGAACGCUGGCGGCGUGCUUAACACAUGCAAGUCUAACGGAAAGGCCCUGCUUUUGUGGGGUGCUCGAGUGGCGAACGGGUGAGUAACACGUGAGUAACCUGCCCUUGACUUUGGGAUAACUUCAGGAAACUGGGGCUAAUACCGGAUAGGAGCUCCUGCUGCAUGGUGGGGGUUGGAAAGUUUCGGCGGUUGGGGAUGGACUCGCGGCUUAUCAGCUUGUUGGUGGGGUAGUGGCUUACCAAGGCUUUGACGGGUAGCCGGCCUGAGAGGGUACCGGCCACAUUGGGACUGAGAUACGGCCCAGACUCCUACGGGAGGCAGCAGUGGGGAAUAUUGCACAAUGGGCGGAAGCCUGAUGCAGCAACGCCGCGUGCGGGAUGACGGCCUUCGGGUUGUAAACCGCUUUCGCCUGUGACGAAGCGUGAGUGACGGUAAUGGGUAAAGAAGCACCGGCUAACUACGUG